CAGGUACUCCCUCCGUUCGGAAUUACUUGUCUCGGAAAUGGAUGUAUCUAGAUGUAUUUUAGUUCUAGAUACAUCCAUUUUCGAGACAAGUAAUUCGGAACGGAGGGAGUAACUA
rnacentral:pre_miRNA from 1 species